GAUGAACGCUGGCUACAGGCUUAACACAUGCAAGUCGAGGGGAAACGACGGGGAAGCUUGCUUCCCCGGGCGUCGACCGGCGCACGGGUGAGUAACGCGUAUCCAACCUGCCUCUGACUGAGGGAUAACCCGUCGAAAGUCGGCCUAAUACCUCAUGGUAUCGUCUGCGGGCAUCCAACGACGAUUAAAGAUUUCAUCGGUCAGGGAUGGGGAUGCGUCUGAUUAGCUUGUUGGCGGGGUAACGGCCCACCAAGGCUACGAUCAGUAGGGGUUCUGAGAGGAAGGUCCCCCACAUUGGAACUGAGACACGGUCCAAACUCCUACGGGAGGCAGCAGUGAGGAAUAUUGGUCAAUGGGCGAGAGCCUGAACCAGCCAAGUAGCGUGCAGGAAGACGGCCCUAUGGGUUGUAAACUGCUUUUAUGCGGGGAUAAAGUGAGGGACGUGUCCCUCAUUGCAGGUACCGCAUGAAUAAGGACCGGCUAAUUCCGUGCCAGCAGCCGCGGUAAUACGGAAGGUCCUGGCGUUAUCCGGAUUUAUUGGGUUUAAAGGGAGCGUAGGCCGUGGAUUAAGCGUGUUGUGAAAUGCAGGUGCUCAACGUCUGCACUGCAGCGCGAACUGGUCCACUUGAGUGUGCGCAACGCAGGCGGAAUUCGUCGUGUAGCGAUGAAAUGCUUAGAUAUGACGAAGAACUCCGAUUGCGAAGGCAGCUUGCGGGAGCACAACUGACGCUGAAGCUCGAAAGUGCGGGUAUCGAACAGG
rnacentral:rRNA from 1 species